rnacentral:rRNA from 1 species
AAUGAACGCUGGCGGCGCGCCUAAUACAUGCAAGUCGAGCGAGAAGACGUAGCAAUACGUUUGUAAAGCGGCGAACGGGUGAGGAAUACAUGGGUAACCUACCCUCGAGUGGGGAAUAACUAGCCGAAAGGUUAGCUAAUACCGCGUACGCUUCUUGGACUUCGGUUCAGGGAGGAAAGCGAUGCCGAGGGUAUCGCGCUCUUGGAUGGGCUCAUGUCCUAUCAGCUUGNGGUGAGGUAACGGCUCACCAAGGCUUCGACGGGUAGCUGGUCUGAGAGGACGAUCAGCCACACUGGCACUGCGACACGGGCCAGACUCCUACGGGAGGCAGCAGUAAGGAAUAUUGCGCAAUGGGCGAAAGCCUGACGCAGCGACGCCGCGUGGGGGAUGAA